GGGGGCUAACUGCAGUCGAGCGAACUGAUUAGAAGCUUGCUUCUAUGACGUGUAUCGGGCGGACGCGGUGAGUAACACGAUGGGUAACCUGCCUGUAAGACAGGGAUAACUUCGGGAAACCGAAGCUAAUACCGGAUAGGAUCCUCUCCUUCAUGGGAGAUGAUUGUUAAAUGGUUUCGGCAUAUCACUUACAGAUGGGCCCGGGGUGCACUAGCUAACUCGGUAGGUAACGGCUCCCCUGAGCAUCGUUUCUUAGACGACCUGUUGAGGUUAUC
rnacentral:rRNA from 1 species